rnacentral:rRNA from 1 species
CCAAUAGCGUAUAUUAAAGUUGUUGCAGUUAAAAAGCUCGUAGUUGAAUUUCGGGAUCAAUAUGCUGGUUGUGCCAUUAGUACGUACUAGUAUUAUUGGUUUCUUCCUUCUGAUGAAUCAUGAUGUCAUUAAUUUGAUGUCAUGGGGAAUCAGGACUGUUACUUUGAAAAAAUUAGAGUGUUUAAAGCAGGCUCGCGCUUGAAUACAUUAGCAUGGAAUAAUGAAAUAGGACGUUUGAUUCUAUUUUGUUGGUUUCUAGAAUUGACGUAAUGAUUAAUAGGGAUAGUUGGGGGCAUUAGUAUUCAAUUGUCAGAGGUGAAAUUCUUGGAUUUAUUAAAGACUAACUACUGCGAAAGCAUUUGCCAAGGAUGUUUUCAUUAAUCAAGAACGAAAGUUAGGAGAUCGAAGACAAUCAGAUACCGUCGUAGUCUUAACCAUAAACUAUGCCGACUAGGGAUCGGAUGAUGUUAAUUUUUAAUAACUCAUUUGGCGCCUUAC